UGAGUGAACCGGGUGAUCGCGAAGGGUUGCCCUUUGAGGAAAGUCCGAGCUCCGCAGGGCAGGAUGCUGGGUAACACCCAGUGGAGGCGACUCUAAGGCUAGUGCCACAGAAACAUACCGCCCUGGUUGAGUUCUCUCUGCCAGGGUAAGGGUGAAACGGUGAGGUAAGAGCUCACCAGCGGUUAGGUGACUAAUCGGCUAGGUAAACCCCAUCCGGAGCAAGGUCAAAUAGGAAAGGAGAGGCUGCCCGUCUCGUUUGACUUUCGGGUUGACCGCAGGAGGCUUUAGGCAACUAAAGUCCCAGAUAGAUGAUCAUCCACGACAGAACUCGGCUUAUAGGUUCACUCAGACC
rnacentral:RNase_P_RNA from 2 species